GAUGAAGAACGCAGCGAAAUGCGAUAAGUAAUGCGAAUUGCAGAAUUCCAGUGAGUCAUCGAAUCUUUGAACGCACAUUGCGCCCUUUGGUAUUCCGAAGGGCAUGCCUGUUCGAGCGUCAUUAUCACCCCUCAAGCCCUCGGCUUGGUGUUGGACGGUUUGGUGGAGGCCCCCUCGGGGGCUCCUGCCCCUCCCAAAGACAAUGACGGCGGCCUCGUUGGACCCCCGGUACACUGAGUUCUUCACGGGACACGUAUCGGACACAUGGGUUUACGGGACACGGUCUGCCUCCCCUCAGGGAGAAUCUUUCUAAGGUUGACCUCGGAUCAGGCAGGGAUACCCGCUGAACUUAAGCAUAUCAAUAAGCGGAGGA
rnacentral:misc_RNA from 1 species